rnacentral:lncRNA from 10 species
CCAAACCAAGGUGAGCCCACUGGGAGGAAUUCAGGGAAAAAAAUAGCCUGAUCUCACUCUUAUUUCUUACUUUAUCCAGAGGCUUUAAAGGUACAGAAGGCCACUUAUGUAUUUCAUACAGGUCAGCCUCCUGGGGCAGGCACAGAAGGGUGGAGGGAAGACCUCAUUAAAUAAAGACAUCCAGCACACCAAAACAGGCAGAAAGCAGACAUGAUAACGAGAUUGCCACCUAUUUACCUUCUUGUAACCAUAAGAAUGAGGGAAGCUUCAUUCCGACGGAGUUCGACCAAAAUAGAGAAGAAGUUGUAAGGGCAACCCUUGCAUAAAAAUAUCCACUCACCAACUGUUCACCAACUGUUCUUCCUCUUGCUGGCAUACCUUAUGCAGCAUCCUCAGAUGCCAGAGCGCGUUUCUGCUGCAGCCUCCACGAUGCCUGGGCUGAUAGCAAUCAGGUCCUGCUAUGCUUCUUUCAGGAAGAGCUGACCCCUGGAAUCUGGGCUAGACUUGCACUUGUUUUGGCCAUUGGAAUAUCAAGCUGACUUUUUGUGGGCUCUGGAGACUAGGACCUAAAAGGAGGAAUGUUGCCCCCUCAUCAUUAUGUAAAGAAGCUGGCGCAACCUGCUGGAGGAGAAUAUGCCACCUGGGGAAGAACUGAGGCACCCAGCCAACAUCCAGCACCCACCACUAGACAUGAAAACACUGGUCGGUUACUAAUGGAGAAGAAGAAAAAGCAGCAAAGACAACGAGUAUACUUGGGAUGCGAUCGCAUGCCUGGAGCAUCUGAGUAUUGGUUGGAAAGAGGUAAAUCAGGCACCAUUUCUCCAUGAUGUGUCAGGACCUGAAUCUGUCAUUUGCGAGCCUGACCUCAUAACUCAGCCAAGCCAAGCUGCAAGGCACCCUGGGAACCCAUCACUGAAAGACUGCAGAGGGAGGAAGGCAAGGGCAGGAAUAGCCAGCUGGUCAAGCAGCAGAGUGUCUCCUCAGCUCCCAGGAAAUGGUGUCUAAGGGUGAUGAUGAACUGGGACUUCAUCUGAGUCCAAAAUAAUGAUGCUGCUGAUGCAACAGCAGAACUUAUUAAACACUUACUACUGCAUAUGCCACUAUGAGGUAGACUUACAGAGAAUAAGUUACUCUCCCAUAAUCACACAGCCAGUAAAUGACAGAAAUGGGAUCCAAUCCAAAUAUGUUUCAUUCUAAAGCCCAUGCUCUUCACCAACAAAGCCCAACUUGAUUUAAUUUAUCCCCAAACAUACCAACAUCCAUUUGUUAGUUCCCUUCCCAAUUUAACUUUAAGCGUCUCACAUACAUACACUGUUUUUAUCCUAACAACAAGUUGGUGAGGAACUGAGCUCAGAGAGGUUAAUCCACCCACUGAAAGGCACCCAGUGUUUAAGAGCAGAGGGAGGGGCCUGACACAGGUCUUUCGGAGCAUGACAUGCAUGUUCUGUCCACAAGGCCUGUUGCUGCCUUUCCCCCAGAGGUCCAGACUGAGGACGGGACAGAGUAGAUAAAGACAGCAGUGUGAGAGGAGGCAGUGGGCAAUAUGGGGAAUCUAGGGGCAGCAGUAUGCUGGUCCCAUAUAAUCAGGCCCGGGGGAGGGGCCCAGACAGAGGGUGGCAGACUCUCUGUACUCCAGCAAGACAAUCCCAGAAGAAAUGCCAGAGAGAUCAAUGAGAAGGCCAGUCAUUUACACUGGGCACACACACAGUGUUUAGGGUACUCAGAUAGGUACCCAGGCCUCACCCCAGGCUGUUUGGACACCAGGAGUCAUAGCACUCUUCCAGGCCACAACUGCUACUUGGGGUGGGAGGAGAGGAUGAGACGUGGCAUUUGUGGAAUAAUGACUGUGGCCAAGCAGUGGGCUCUGUAUGAUGCCAUCGUCAAUUCUCACAGCAAUUCUACAACAUAGGUUUUGUUACUUCUCUCUCACGCUUUACCCUAAAUUUCUCCUGCCUACCACAGUGCUUGGCACACACAAACAGAAUAAUAAUGUGUGGAACUGACUAAUUCAUUUUCCAUUCUGCUGGUCAGGGAGAAAUUAAUAGAGGCAGAGGCUAUUAAUAAAACAUUACAUUACCUCCAA